rnacentral:rRNA from 1 species
UUUUUCAAGCAGAAGACGGCAUACGAGAUAUAUCAGUGUGACUGGAGUUCAGACGUGUGCUCUUCCGAUCUGCGUAGACAACUAGGACGUUGGCUUAGAAGCAGCCACUCAUUUAAAGAGUGCGUAAUAGCUCACUAGUCGAGUGAUUGUGCGCCGAAAAUGUAACGGGGCUAAAAUUCAUACCGAAGCUUAGGAAUGAUAGUAAUAUUGUUGGUAGAUGAGCGUUGUGUAAGUCUGCGAAGCUACACCGAAAGGAGUAGUGGAGAUAUCACAAGCGAGAAUGCCGGAAUGAGUAGCGAGAAUUAUGUGAGAAUCAUAAUGGUCGAAAAUCUAAGGUUUCUUGAGGAAGGUUCGUCCGCUCAAGGUAAGCCGGGAGCUAAGGCGAGGCCGAGAGGCGUAGUCGAUGCACAUACGGUAAAGAUUCCGUAGCCACCGAAGUUGUUAAAUACAGGGACACAGGAACAUAGCCUAACCCCACCGUUGGUUGAGUGGGGCGUAAGGGAGCGAAAAUUAGUAGCGAAGUAGGUGAUUGUACACUGGCGAGAAAAGCUGUAUGAAUUGACCAGGUGCCCGUACCGCAAACCGACACAGGUAGAUGAGGAGAGAAUCCUAAGACCAGCGGGAGAAGUGUUGUUAAGGAACUCGGCAAAAUGACCCCGUAACUUCGGGAUAAGGGGAGCCUACGCGAGUAGGCCGCAGAGAAUAGUCUCAAGCGACUGUUUAGCAAAAACACAGGUCUAUGCUAAAUCGAAAGAUGAUGUAUAUGGGCUGACGCCUGCCCGGUGCUGGAAGGUUAAGGGGAAGUGUUAGAGCAAUCGAAGCACUGAACUUAAGCCCCAGUAAACGGCGGCCGUAACUAUAACGGUCCUAAGGUAGCGAAAUUCCUUGUCAGGUAAGUUCUGACCCGCACGAAUGGCGUAACGACUUGAGAGCUGUCUCAACAACAUACCCGGCGAAAUUGAAGUACUGGUAAAGAUGCCAGUUACCCGUGAUAAGACGGAAAGACCCCAUGGAGCUUUACUGUAACUUGAUAUUGAAUUUUUGUAUUACAUGUACAGGAUAGGUGGGAGACAGAGAACUAAUGCCGCCAGGUGUUAGGGAGUCGAUGUUGGGAUACCACUCUUGUAAUAUGAAGGUUCUAACCUGCACCCGUGAAUCCGGGUGGGGGACACUGUCAGGUGGACAGUUUGACUGGGGCGGUCGCCUCCUAAAAGGUAACGGAGGCGUUCAAAGGUUGGUUCAGCACGGACGGAAAUCGUGCAACGAGUGCAAACGCAUAAACCAGCCUAACUGCGAGACCGACAAGUCGAGCAGUAACGAAAGUUGGAGUUAGUGAUCCGGCGGUAUGAGAGUGGAAUUGCCGUCGCUCAACGGAUAAAAGCUACCCUGGGGAUAACAGGCUGAUCUCCCCCAAGAGUCCACAUCGACGGGGAGGUUUGGCACCUCGAUGUCGGCUCAUCGCAUCCUGGAGCUGUAGUCGGUUCCAAGGGUUGGGCUGUUCGCCCAUUAAAGCGGUACGCGAGCUGGGUUCAGAACGUCGCGAGACAGUUCGGUCCCUAUCUAUCACGGGCGUAGGAAAUUUGAGGAGAGCUGACCUUAGUACGAGAGGACCGGGUUGGACGUACCGCUGGUGCACCUGUUGUUCUGCCAAGGGCAUAGCAGGGUAGCUAAGUACGGACGGGAUAAACGCUGAAGGCAUCUAAGCGUGAAGCCCCCUUCGAGAUAAGAUUUCCCAUAGCGUAGGCUAGUAAGGACCCAUGAAGACUACAUGGUUGAUACGAAGUUACCCAAGGCGCUUGCAACGGCGUUGUCAACCAUGUCGGAGGCGCCAGCGGCAAACGAA